rnacentral:rRNA from 1 species
GUUUGAUCCUGGCUCAGGAUGAACGCUAGCGGGAGGCCUAACACAUGCAAGCCGAGCGGUAUUUAUUCUUCGGAAUAGAGAGAGCGGCGUACGGGUGCGUAACACGUGUGCAACCUGCCUUUAUCUGGGAGAUAGCCCUCCGAAAGGGGGAUUAAUAUUCCAUAAUAUAUUAAUUGGCAUCAAUUGAUAUUGAAAGCUCCGGCGGAUAGAGAUGGGCACGCGCAAGAUUAGAUAGUUGGUGAGGUAACGGCUCACCAAGUCUGCGAUCUUUAGGGGGCCUGAGAGGGUGAUCCCCCACACUGGUACUGAGACACGGACCAGACUCCUACGGGAGGCAGCAGUGAGGAAUAUUGGACAAUGGGUGCAAGCCUGAUCCAGCCAUCCCGCGUGAAGGAUUAAGGUCCUAUGGAUUGUAAACUUCUUUUAUACAGGGAUAAACCUCUCCUCGUGAGGAGAGCUGAAGGUACUGUAUGAAUAAGCACCGGCUAACUCCGUGCCAGCAGCCGCGGUAAUACGGAGGGUGCAAGCGUUAUCCGGAUUUAUUGGGUUUAAAGGGUCCGUAGGCGGGCCGAUAAGUCAGUGGUGAAAUCUCGCAGCUUAACUGUGAAACUGCCAUUGAUACUGUUGGUCUUGAGUAAAUUUGAAGUGGCUGGAAUAAGUAGUGUAGCGGUGAAAUGCAUAGAUAUUACUUAGAACACCAAUUGCGAAGGCAGGUCACUAAGAUUUAACUGACGCUGAUGGACGAAAGCGUGGGUAGCGAACAGGAUUAGAUACCCUGGUAGUCCACGCCGUAACGAUGCUAACUCGUUUUUGGGCACUUGUGCUCAGAGACCAAGCGAAAGUGAUAAGUUAGCCACCUGGGGAGUACGAUCGCAAGAUGAAACUCAAAGGAAUUGACGGGGGCCCGCACAAGCGGUGGAU